GACGAACGCUGGCGGCGUGCCUAAUACAUGCAAGUAGAACGCAGUUGCGAACGGGUGAGUAACGCGUAGGUAACCUGCCUCAUAGCGGGGGAUAACUAUUGGAAACGAUAGCUAAUACUGCAUACUGUGAGAUGGCCCUGCGUUGUAUUAGCUAGUUGGUGAGGUAAAGGCUCACCAAGGCGACGAUACAUAGCCGACCUGAGAGGGUGGUAGGCCACACUGGGAAUGGGACACGGCCCAGAGUGCUACGGGAGGCAGGAGUAGGGAGUCUUGGGCAAUGGGCGGCAGUAUGGCCGAGCAACGCCGCGGGAGUGGAGAAGGUGUUCGGAGCGUAAAGCGCUGGUGUUAGAGGAGCGGUCGCUAACCAGAAAGGGACGGCUAACUACGUGCCAGCAGCCGCGGUAAUAC
rnacentral:rRNA from 1 species